CGCACAUUGCGCCCAUUGGUAUUCCGAUGGGCACGUCUGUUUGAGCGUCAUCUCAACCCUUCGGCUGACAUUAGCUUGUUCACCGGUUGUGAGUUCGGUCAGGAACGCCUUGCGAAAGGCACCCACCGGCUUCAAAUGUUGUACGCUCCGCGGGUCCACCAACCUGACAAAACAUAGUAGAAUUUCAAACUGUUUCCGUUACGGCCGGUCAGGAUUCCGCCUGAACAAACCACCCUUCUUAAGGUUUGACCUCAGAUCAGACGAGGAUACCCGCUGAACUUAA
rnacentral:misc_RNA from 1 species